UACAUAAGGAGCAAGCGUUAUCCGGAAUUAUUGGGCGUAAAGAGCUCGUAGGCGGCUUGGCAAGUCAGAUGUGAAAGCCCCGGGCUUAACCCGGGAAUUGCAUCUGAAACUGCUUUGCUUGAGUCCUGGAGGGGAUAGUGGAAUUCCCAGUGUAGCGGUGAAAUGCGUAGAUAUUGGGAGGAACACCUGCGGCGAAGGCGGCUAUCUGGACAGUGACUGACGCUGAUGCGCGAAAGCUAGGGGAGCGAACGGGAUUAGAUACCCCAGUA
rnacentral:rRNA from 1 species